rnacentral:rRNA from 1 species
AACUUAAAGGAAUUGACGGGGACCCGCACAAGCAGCGGAGCAUGCGGUCUAAUUCGAUGCAACGCGAAGAACCUUACCAGGGCUUGACAUGUGGGUGUAAGGUAUAGAGAUAUACCCCUCUCUUUAUGAGACAUCCAUACAGGUGGUGCAUGGUUGUCGUCAACUCGUGUCGUGAGAUGUUGGGUUAAGUCCCGCAACGAGCGCAACCCCUAUACUUAGUUACCAGCGAGUAAUGUCGGGGACUCUAAGUAGACUGCCGAUGACAAAUCGGAGGAAGGUGGGGAUGACGUCAAAUCAUCAUGCCCUUUAUGUCCUGGGCUACACACGUGCUACAAUGGUUGGUACAGAGGGCAGCUAUAUAGUGAUAUAAUGCAAAACUCGAAAGCCAAUCCCAGUUCGGAUUGUAGGCUGCAACUCGCCUACAUGAAGUCGGAGUUGCUAGUAAUCGCGGAUCAGAAUGUCGCGGUGAAUGCGUUCCCG